AUGGCCAACAAUUUUGAAGUCCGAGCCUGGGUCCAUGUGUCUAAGGAGUUCGAUCUGGGCAAAAUUGGGAGUGCCAUCCUCAAAAGCAUAAAUACCAGUAUCAACCUUGACAACUGUAGUUUGCAGUUUUUACAAGAAAAUCUCAAAAAGGAACUUGCUGGUAGAAGGUACUUGAUUGUUUUGGAUGAUCUUUGGGAAGAGGAUGCGGAUAAGCUGGAAAGGCUGAAGCAGAUGUUACAACAUGGCUGCAAGGGUAGCAGAGUUAUUGUAACUACGCGGAACCAAAGGGUAGUGAAUAAAAUGAGAACCGGUGUUCUUGCGAACCAAAGGAAAAUUUGUCCCGUGCCCAACUCUGAUCAAAUCAACUUGUGUGUAUUAUCAACUGAUGACUGUUGGGAAGUAAUGAAGCAAACAGCAUUUGGGCCUGAUGAUGACAAAAGUGACUUGGAAGAAAUUGGAAGGAAAAUUGCAGAGAAGUGUGGGGGUGUACCACUCGUGGCAAUUGCCCUUGGGCAAGUAAUGUCCGAGUUAAGGACUGUCGAGGCAUGGAAAAAAAUAAGAGAUACGAACAUCGAUUUAGGUCACAGAGAUCACAAGGACACAUUGGAGCGCCUCAUGCUAAGCUAUUACUACAUGAAGUUGGAAUUCAAAAUGUGCUUCACAUAUUUGGCGGCCUUUCCCAAGGGCUUUGUUAUAGACAGUGAUCGUCUAAUUCAGCAAUGGAAGGCUCUUGGAUACAUUCAUGGGGAUGACAGUAAAAGGUGCAUUAACUACCUUAUUUUUUUUAGAGAAAAGGCGAGAGCCCGACUUUAUAGAUAA
rnacentral:rRNA from 1 species